AGAACGAACGCUGGCGGCAUGCCUAAUACAUGCAAGUCGAACGAACUCUUCGGAGUUAGUGGCGCACGGGUGCGUAACGCGUGGGAAUCUGCCCCUUGGUUCGGAAUAACAGUUGGAAACGACUGCUAAUACCGGAUGAUGACGAAAGUCCAAAGAUUUAUCGCCAAGGGAUGAGCCCGCGUAGGAUUAGCUAGUUGGUGAGGUAAAGGCUCACCAAGGCAACGAUCCUUAGCUGGUCUGAGAGGAUGAUCAGCCACACGUGGGACUGAACGACGACCGGCCCAAGACCUCCGUAACGGGGAGGCAGCAGGUAGGGAAUAGUGGAACAAGUGGGACGAAAGCCUAGACUCCAGCAAUCGCCGCGUGAGUGAGUAGGAAGGUCGUUAGGUUAGUAAGCUUCCUUUACCGAGUAUAGAAUAAUAGAAC
rnacentral:rRNA from 1 species